UUUCCUACGGGGGGCUGCAGUGGGGAAUAUUGCGCAAUGGGCGAAAGCCUGACGCAGCGACGCAGCGUGAGGGACGAAGGCCUUCGGGUUGUAAACCUCUUUCAGCGGGGACGAAGCGAAAGUGACGGUACCCGCAGAAGAAGCACCGGCUAACUACGUGCCAGCAGCCGCGGUAAUACGUAGGGUGCAAGCAUUGUCCGGAUUUAUUGGGCGUAAAGAGCUCGUAGGCGGCUUGUCACGUCGGAUGUGAAAACUCGGGGCUCAACCCCGAGCCUGCAUUCGAUACGGGCUAGCUAGAGUGUUGCAGGGGAGACUGGAAUUCCUGGUGUAGCGGUGAAAUGCGCAGAUAUCAGGAGGAACACCGGUGGCGAAGGCGGGUCUCUGGGCAACUACUGACGCUGAGGAGCGAAAGCGUGGGGAGCGAACAGGAUUAGAUACCCCAGUAGUCUGC
rnacentral:rRNA from 1 species